ACGAACGCUGGCGGCGUGCUUAACACCUGCAGGUCGAACGGUGAAGCGCCUUCCUUUUUGGUGGGUGUGGAUGAGUGGCGAACGGGUGAGUAACACGUGAGUAACCUGCCCCCUUCUUCUGGAUAACCGCAUGAAAGUGUGGCUAAUACGGGAUAUUCUGGGUCUGUCGCAUGAUGGGUCUGGGAAAGAUAUUGUUUCGGUGGGGGAUGGGCUCGCGGCCUAUCAGCUUGUUGGUGGGGUGAUGGCCUACCAAGGCGGUGACGGGUAGCCGGCCUGAGAGGGUGGACGGUCACACUGGGACUGAGACACGGCCCAGACUCCUACGGGAGGCAGCAGUGGGGAAUAUUGCACAAUGGGCGCAAGCCUGAUGCAGCGACGCCGCGUGAGGGAUGGAGGCCUUCGGGUUGUGAACCUCUUUCGCCAGUGAAGCAGGCCUGCCUCGUUUGUGGGUGGGUUGACGGUAGCUGGAUAAGAAGCGCCGGCUAACUACGUG
rnacentral:rRNA from 1 species